rnacentral:lncRNA from 1 species
GUCCCUCUGAAUAGCAGGACUCUUAUGUUAAAAUCCUUUAAGCAAGUUUGGCUUUGCUUGAGUUUUAUUUCUGAGCGUCCUAUAUCUAGUAAGUUUAUCUGCUACUUCUACAAAACAGCCUUUUCAGAGUAGAGCUGCUUAAAAUUUGCGUAUAUUAUGGAUGCUCCCCAGACUCUGUGGGGAAUAAAACACUGUUUGCGGUGCAAUUAAGGAAUCGUUUCAUCACAGGCAGUGCAGUAGGAAGCAUUGUGUCAUCACCCAAGCCUGUCAUUAUUAAGGUUGGCCUAAGGCUAGUCUCACUGAAGAAAUGGGGAGUAAGGAGGACUCACGGGAGUUGGCAGUUCACCCUGAAGAUGGUUUUGCUGAGAGCGUCCCUCCCUUCUGUGAAGACGGUGAUGUUUUGGAAAUGA